rnacentral:rRNA from 1 species
UACGUAGGUGGCGAGCGUUGUCCGGAUUUAUUGGGCGUAAAGAGCGCGGAGGUGGUGCCUUAAGUUGGGCGUGAAAUCCCCUGGCUUAACUGGGGGAGGUCGUCCAAUACUGAGGUGCUUGAGGGUGGACGGGGAGAGCGGAAUUCCCGGUGUAGUGGUGAAAUGCGUAGAUAUCGGGAGGAACACCAGUGGCGAAGGCGGCUCUCUAGACCAUUCCUGACACUCAAGUGCGAAAGCGUGGGUAGCGAACGGAAUUAGAUACUCCGGUAGUCCACGCUGUAAACGAUGAACACUAGGUGUAGUGGGUAUCGACCCCCACUGUGCCGCAGCUAACGCAAUAAGUGUUCCGCCUGGGGACUACGGCCGCAAGGUUA